GAUGAACGCUGGCGGCGUGCCUAAUACAUGCAAGUCGAGCGAACGGACGAGAAGCUUGCUUCUCUGAUGUUAGCGGCGGACGGGUGAGUAACACGUGGAUAACCUACCUAUAAGACUGGGAUAACUUCGGGAAACCGUAGCUAAUACCGGAUAAUAUUUUGAACCGCAUGGUUCAAAAGUGAAAGACGGUCUUGCUGUCACUUAUAGAUGGAUCCGCGCUGCAUUAGCUAGUUGGUAAGGUAACGGCUUACCAAGGCAACGAUGCAUAGCCGACCUGAGAGGGUGAUCGGCCACACUGGAACUGAGACACGGUCCAGACUCCGACGGGAGGCAGCAGUAGGGAAUCUUCCGCAAUGGGCGAAAGCCUGACGGAGCAACGCCGCGUGAGUGAUGAAGGUCUGCGGAUCGUAAAACUCUGUUAUUAGGGAAGAACAUAUGUGUAAGUAACGGUGCACAUCUGGACGGUACCUAAGCAGAAAGCCACGGCUAACUACGG
rnacentral:rRNA from 1 species